GACGAACGCUGGCGGCGUGCUUAACACAUGCAAGUCGAACGGAAAGGCCCUGCUUUUGUGGGGUGCUCGAGUGGCGAACGGGUGAGUAACACGUGAGUAACCUGCCCUGGACUUUGGGAUAACUUCAGGAAAGUGGGGCUAAUACCGGAGAGGAGCUCCUGCUGCAGGGGGGGGGUUGGAAAGUUUCGGCGGGUGGGGAUGGACUCGCGGCUUAUCAGCUUGUUGGUGGGGUAGUGGCUUACCAAGGCUUUGACGGGUAGCCGGCCUGAGAGGGUGACCGCCCACCUUGGGACUGCGAUACGGCCCAGACUCCUACGGGAGGCAGCAGUGGGGAAUAUUGCACAAUGGGCGGACGCCUGAUGCAGCAACGCCGCGUGCGGGAUGACGGCCUUCGGGUUGUAAACCGCUUUCGCCUGUGACGAAGCGUGAGUGACGGUAAUGGGUAAAGAAGCACCGGCUAACUACGUG
rnacentral:rRNA from 1 species